CGUCUAGGUGGUGUGAUAAGUCUGAUGUGAAAAUGCGGGGCUCAACUCCGUAUUGCGUUGGAAACUGUCAAACUAGAGUAUCGGAGAGGUGGGCGGAACUACAAGUGUAGAGGUGAAAUUCGUAGAUAUUUGUAGGAAUGCCGAUAGAGAAGCCAGCUCACUGGACGAAUACUGGCACUGAAGCGCGAAAGCAUGGGGAGCAAACAGGAUUAGAUACCCUGGUAGUCC
rnacentral:rRNA from 1 species